rnacentral:pre_miRNA from 1 species
GAUUUCAACUGAAAAAGUCAUUAAUAACAAAGUGGUAUAACUCAUCAAGAUCUAUAACUUUUAUUUGGAUCAUUUCUUCAUCUGAUAAAGUGAUUUGUAACAUUGUUCACAAAAUGCACAUAUCUCUCUUAUAUAGUUCAUAAACUACAGGAGAGAUUUAAAUUUUGUGAACAAUGUUACUAUCACUUUAUCGGAUGAAGAAAUGACCAAAAUAAAAGUUAUAGAUAUUGAUGAGUUAUACAACUUUGUUGUUGAUGACUUUUUCAGUUGAAAUC